AUUGAACGCUGGCGGCAGGCCUAACACAUGCAAGUCGAGCGGAUGAAGAGAGCUUGCUCUCUGAUUCAGCGGCGGACGGGUGAGUAAUGCCUAGGAAUCUGCCUGGUAGUGGGGGACAACGUUUCGAAAGGAACGCUAAUACCGCAUACGUCCUACGGGAGAAAGCAGGGGACCUUCGGGCCUUGCGCUAUCAGAUGAGCCUAGGUCGGAUUAGCUAGUAGGUGAGGUAAAGGCUCACCUAGGCGACGAUCCGUAACUGGUCUGAGAGGAUGAUAAGUCACACUGGAAAUGAGACACGGUCCAGACUCCUACGGGAGGCAGCAGUGGGGAAUAUUGGACAAUGGGCGAAAGCCUGAUCCAGCCAUGCCGCGUGUGUGAAGAAGGUCUUCGGAUUGUAAAGCACUUUAAGUUGGGAGGAAGGGCAGUAAGUUAAUACCUUGCUGUUUUGACGUUACCAACAGAAUAAGCACCGGCUAACUUCGUGCCAGCCGCCGCGGUAAAAC
rnacentral:rRNA from 1 species